AACCGAGUUUGGGAGGGGGAUCCAAAAAACGUAGACAGAAACAAGGUCUCCGAAUAAAGACAAUUUAAUGUCUAAAUCGCACCGAAAAUAAGGCGAGAACAUCAAGCGCUGGUCCACAAUGAGGACCAGGAGGUAAAUCCAAGACGACUAACAAAAGGUGCUUGCACAAAAGAGCAAGAAAGGAAAGUAAAGCCCGCACACUAUGAACGAAAAACAAUGUAACACUUUGUACACGCACAAAAAGCCAGAUCAUCAAAAUAAAAUGAGUACUUACACAAAACUUGGUACCGAGAACUAUACGCGAAAUCACGACGAGGUCAAAAGCCACUAAGUCAAUGACCAGUGAGGAUAGCAAUGCCAUAAACAAUACUCCCACAACAGGUGUAGGACGUUGGAGUCCUUAAAUAGUGUCUCUAUUGAUUAACGAUUGCCAGCAGGUGUGCUAGGAAGACCGCUCAUUCCACCUGCUGGCCAGACCGCAAAACCGAAACGUGACAAU